GACGUAGGGUGCGAGCGUUGUCCGGAAUUAUUGGGCGUAAAGAGCUCGUAGGCGGUUUGUUGCGUCGGCCGUGAAAACCUGCAGCUUAACUGUGGGCCUGCGGCCGAUACGGGCAGACUUGAGUUCGGUAGGGGAGACUGGAAUUCCUGGUGUAGCGGUGAAAUGCGCAGAUAUCAGGAGGAACACCGGUGGCGAAGGCGGGUCUCUGGGCCGAUACUGACGCUGAGGAGCGAAAGCGUGGGGAGCGAACAGG
rnacentral:rRNA from 1 species